UACGAAGGGGGCUAGCGUUGCUCGGAAUCACUGGGCGUAAAGGGUGCGUAGGCGGGUCUUUAAGUCAGGGGUGAAUCCUGGAGCUCAACUCCAGAACUGCCUUUGAUACUGAAGAUCUUGAGUUCGGGAGAGGUGAGUGGAACUGCGAGUGUAGAGGUGAAAUUCGUAGAUAUUCGCAAGAACACCAGUGGCGAAGGCGGCUCACUGGCCCGAUACUGACGCUGAGGCGCGAAAGCGUGGGGAGCAAACAGG
rnacentral:rRNA from 1 species